UACGAAGGGGGCUAGCGUUGUUCGGAAUUACUGGGCGUAAAGCGCGCGCAGGCGGUCCUUCAAGUCAGAGGUGAAAGCCCAGGGCUCAACCCUGGAACUGCCUUUGAAACUGGAGGACUUGAGUACGGGAGAGGUGAGUGGAAUUCCGAGUGUAGAGGUGAAAUUCGUAGAUAUUCGGAAGAACACCAGUGGCGAAGGCGACUCACUGGCCCGUUACUGACGCUCAGGCGCGACAGCGUGGGGAGCAAACAGG
rnacentral:rRNA from 1 species